rnacentral:misc_RNA from 1 species
CCGAGUUAUCGCACUCCCAGACCCCCUGUGAACGCUACCAUACCGUUGCCUCGGCGGGGACCCGUCCCCUCCGGAGGACCCCCAAACUCUCGUUUCCACGCGGUGGCAUCUUCCGAGUUAGCGCGAUAGCGAAUCAAUCA